rnacentral:rRNA from 1 species
ACCUAGGCGGGAGAUGCUCCAGACAUCUCCUUAAUCGGAGAGUUCCCUGCGGGGACAUUGGUGACAGGUGGGGCAUGGUUGUCGUCAGCUCGUGUCGUGGGAUGUUGGGUUAAGUCCCGCAACGAGCGCAACCCUUGUCUUUAGUUGCCAUCAUUAAGUUGGGCACUCUAGAGAGACUGCCAGGGAUAACCUGGAGGAAGGUGGGGAUGACGUCAAAUCAUCAUGCC